CUCUUCCAGUCUGAGCAGCAGCUGUUAGACUGCUCCAGUUCUUUCAACAACUCUGGCUGCUUGGGGGGUCUUCCCAGCCAUUCAUUCGAGUACAUUAAAUAUAACAAAGGUCUUAUGACAGAGGAGGAUUACCCUUACAAAGGCUUUGUCGGUACCUGCAAAUUUGAGUCUCAGCUCACGGCUGUUUUUGUCCAAGAUGUCGUUAACAUAACUUGUGUAAGUU